rnacentral:rRNA from 1 species
GGUUUGAUUAUGGCUCAGAUUGAACGCUGGCGGGAUGUUUACACACAUGCAAGUCGAACGGCAGCACGGACUUCGGUCUGGUGGCGAGUGGCGAACGGGUGAGUAGUGUAUCGGAACGUGCCUAGUAGCGGGGAUAACUACGCGAAAGCGUAGCUAAUACCGCACAGCACCCCGGGGAAAGCGGGGACCUUCGGGCCUCGCACUAUUAGAGCGGCCGAUAUCGGAUUAGCUAGUUGGUGGGGUAACGGCUCACCAAUGGCGACGAUCCGUGGCUGGUUUGAGAGGACGACCAGCCACACUGGGACUGAGACACGGCCCAGACUCCUACGGGAGGCAGCAGUGGGGAAUUUUGGACAAUGGGGGAAACCCUGAUCCAGCCAUCCCGCGUGUGCGAUGAAGGCCUUCGGGGUUGUAAAGCACUUUUGGCAGGAAAGAAACGGCACGGGAUAAUACCCCGUGCAACUGACGGUACCUGCAGAACAAGCACCGGCUAACUACGUGCCAGCAGCCGCGGUAAUACGUAGGGUGCAAGCGUUAAUCGGAAUUACUGGGCGUAAAGCGUGCGCAGGCGGUUCGGAAAGAAAGAUGUGAAAUCCCAGAGCUUAACUUUAAACUGCAUUUUUAACUACCGAGCUAGAGUGUGUCAGGAGGGAGGUGGAAUUCCGCGUGUAGCAGUGAAAUGCGUAGAUAUGCGGAGGAACACCGAUGGCGAAGGCAGCCUCCUGGGAUAACACUGACGCUCAUGCACGAAAGCGUGGGGAGCAAACAGGAUUAGAUACCCUGUAGUCCACGCCCUAAACGAUGUCAACUAGCUGUUGGGGCCUUCGGGCCUUGGUAGCGCAGCUAACGCGUGAAGUUGACCGCCUGGGGAGUACGGUCGCAAGAUUAAAACUCAAAGGAAUUGACGGGUGACCCGCACAAGCGGUGGAUGAUGUGGAUUAAUUCGAUGCAACGCGAAAAACCUUACCGUUCUCUUUGACAUGUCUGGAAUCCCGAAGAGAUUUGGGAGUGCUCGCAAGAGAACCGAACACAGGUGCUGCAUGGCUGUCGUCAGCUCGUCGUGAGAUGUUGGGUUAAGUCCGGCAACGAGCGCAACCCUUGUCAUUAGUUGCUACGAAAGGGCACUCUAAUGAGACUGCCGGUGACAAACCGAGGAAGGUGGGGAUGACGUCAAGUCCUCAUGGCCCUUAUGGGUAGGGCUUCACACGUCAUACAAUGGUCGGGACAGAGGGUCGCCAACCCGCGAGGGGAGCCAAUCCCAGAAACCCGAUCGUAGUCCGGAUCGCAGUCUGCAACUCGACUGCGUGAAGUCGGAAUCGCUAGUAAUCGCGGAUCAGCAUGUCGCGGUGAAUACGUUCCCGGGUCUUGUACACACCGCCCGUCACACCAUGGGAGUGGGUUUUACCAGAAGUAGUUAGCCUAACCGUAAGGAGGGCGAUUACCACGGUAGGAUUCAUGACUGGGGUGAAGUCGUAACAAGGUAA